rnacentral:rRNA from 2 species
CUAUGGUAUAACUUAGUGGCAGACGGGUGAGUAAUGUAUAGGAAUCUACCUAGUAGUACGGAAUAAUUGUUGGAAACGGCAACUAAUACCGUAUACGCCCUACGGGGGAAAAAUUUAUUGCUAUUAGAUGAGCCUAUAUUAGAUUAGUUAGUUGGUGAGGUAAAGGCUUACCAAGACAAUGAUCUAUAGCUGAUCUGAGAGGAUGAUCAGCCACACUGGAACUGAGAUACGGUCCAGACUCCUACGGGAGGCAGCAGUGGGGAAUAUUGGACAAUGGGCGAAAGCCUGAUCCAGCCAUGCCGCAUGAGUGAAGAAGGCCUUCGGGUUGUAAAGCUCUUUUAGUGAGGAAGAUAAUGACGGUACUCACAGAAGAAGUCCUGGCUAACUCCGUGCCAGCAGCCGCGGUAAUACGGAGAGGGCUAGCGUUAUUCGGAAUCAUUGGGCGUAAAGGGCGCGUAGGCGGGUUAGUAAGUUAAAAGUGAAAUCCCAAGGCUCAACCUUGGAACUGCUUUUAAAACUGCUAGUCUAGAGAUUGAAAGAGGAUAGAGGAAUUCCUAGUGUAGAGAUGAAAUUCGUAAAUAUUAGAGGACACCAGUGGCGAAG